UAGGCAGCCAGUAAGCUGCUUUCUGUGCCCCGGGACCUGGGGCUUCCCCGACGGGUCGCUGGAGGGACCGCACGGAGCGCGAUAACAACAUGCACCUCUAGAACCCAUUCGGUCUUGGACAUCUUGUUGGGCAGAUGAGAAGAACAUUGCGGUCCCACAGCUGAAGCGAAACAAUUUCUUAUCUUGGCAAGACCACCUCUACUCAUCAUGCCGUGAGACUACAGGAGCCAGGGACAACUGCCUAGGUGGUGGACUGACUAGUCAUCACUGUUAUUUUGAUUGAAUCUACUUGGGGAUCAGCUAUGGACUGCAAGCUGAAAUCUGGACUUGCUGGAACCUGAAGUAAACCAGUCCCGCCGAUGUAAUGGAUCCAUGGCUCUUCAAGUGGAUCACUGAUUAGAUAGUGCCCCAUUGCCUAGCUUUUGACUGGCAUUUCAGCCUUCCUAGCCCCUGAGGCCAAUGGUCCUAUUUUCAUAACUGAAUAAGUUUCAGAAGAAGAGAUCUCUGCUCAUAAUCUCACCUAAUAGGCUGAAAUGCUAACUCAAAAGGGGCUCCCUGGCAUUAGCUAUUAUCUUGGGGAACCUGCUUAGCUGGAGUAGCAACUGGACAAAAAUAGCAUGGAGAGACACUGGCAAGAGAGGAUUCCACAGGAUGGUUUAAAUCCUGGUAUCAUAGUUCUCCUUGGCUUACUACCCUUAUAUCCACCCUGAAGGGACCCCUACUCAUUUUGAUUUUUACCUUUGGGCAUUAUAUUUUAAAUUGCUUGAUGGCUUUCAUGAAGUAAUGCUUGAGAGCGAUACAGCUAAUGGGACUCAGAUCCUGUUGUGGAAAGGUAAAUCUGGAGGAUACCAGGGGUCAUAUCUGGAAGACCCAAGACUGGGUUUUCAAAUGAUCAUGGGACGGGAAAAGUGAAAGACCAAAGAAUUAAAAAUUCAGAGUUUUUUUUGAGGGGGGGUUUAUGGAAUUAAAGUUUAAAGCAUAAGCCUGAAGGAAGGCCAGCCAGGGUGGAGACAUGUCCAGCCACCUGAGAGAAAGAACCAGCCUUACUGCAUUCUUUCCAUGCUCACUAGAGAUACAGUUGCUAGGAAACUGGCCCAGAUGGCCUGGCCAGAACCACUUAAAGAGAUAAUGUCUCCUGGCAACCCACCCACAUGGCCAGGCCAGAACUGUUUAUGGUCUUGACACCUAAAGUAAACCAAUCAUUUCAAAAAUCAAUUUCCCUUACCCAAUUGUGUAAUGCCAAGGCUUGAAGACCCCCCCAACACACACACUUGCAGUUUUUCCCUUUAAAACCCCUGUUCCCCUAUAGUUCAGGGCUGCACUCUUCCUCUUCAACAGGGAGGUUGCUGCGACCUGGGCUCAAGCUUGUAUUGAAUAAACCCUCAUGUAUUUUGCAAAGUACUCAAUUUCUGGUGGUCUUUUGGGGUCUCGUGAUCUAGUCACAACAUUAUUGGUAAUGUUUUU